UACGUGUAGCCCAAGUGAUGUCCACGAAUAUUGAGUCUAAAACGCCCGUAGCCGGUUUGAAAAGUCUUCUGUGAAAUCUGCUUGCUCAACAAGCAGGCUUGCAGGGGAAACUCUCAGACUAGGGAGUGGGGGAAGCCAGUAGUACUUUAGGGGGAGGAGUAAAAUCCUGUAAUCCUUAAAGGACUUCCAGUGGCGAAAGCGACUGGCUAAAACACAUCCGACGGUGAGGGACGAAGGCUAGGGGAGCAAACGG
rnacentral:rRNA from 1 species